CCUACGGGAGGCAGCAGUGGGGAAUCUUGGACAAUGGGCGCAACCUGAUCCAGCCAUGCCGCGUGAGUGAAGAAGGCCUUCGGGUUGUAAAGCUCUUUUGUCAGGGACGCGGUACCUGAAGAAUAAGCCCCGGCAAACUUCGUGCCAGCAGCCGCGGUAAUACGAAGGGGGCUAGCGUUGUUCGGAUUUACUGGGCGUAAAGCGCACGUAGGUGGAUAGUUAAGUGAGGGGUGAAAUCCCGAGGCUCAACUCGGAACUGCCUUUCAUACUGGCUAUCUUGAGUUCGGAAGAGGUGAGUGGAAUUCCAAGUGUAGAGGUGAAAUUCGUAGAUAUUUGGAAGAACACCGGUGGCGAAGGCGGCUCACUGGUCGAACUGACACUGAGGUGCGAAACGUGGGGAGCAAACAGGAUUAGAUACCCUUGUAGUC
rnacentral:rRNA from 1 species